rnacentral:rRNA from 1 species
AUACGGAGGAUGCAAGCGUUAUCCGGAUUUAUUGGGUUUAAAGGGUGCGUAGGCGGAUGAUUAAGCGUGAGGUGAAAUGCCACUGCUCAACAGUGGAACUGCCUCGCGAACUGGUUGUCUUGAAUGCUCCUGCCGUGGGAGGAAUGUGUGGUGUAGCGGUGAAAUGCAUAGAGAUCACACAGAACACCGAUUGCGAAGGCAUCUCACGAAGGGGUGGUUGACGCUGAGGCACGAAAGCGUGGGGAUCAAACAGGAUUAGAUACCCUGGUAGUCCACGCAGUAAACGAUGAUAACUAACCGCUGGGUCGUAGUGAUUCAGUGGCCAAGCGAAAGCGAUAAGUUAUCCACCUGGGGAGUACGACCGCAAGGUUGAAACUCAAAGGAAUUGACGGGG